UACGUAGGGGGCGAGCGUUGUCCGAAUUCACUGGGCGUAAAGCGCGCGUAGGCGGACUUUUAAGUUGGGGGUGAAAUGCCGAGGCUCAACCUCGGAACUGCCUCCAAAACUGGGAGUCUUGAGGUAUGGAGAGGGAAGUGGAAUUCCAGGUGUAGCGGUGAUAUGCGUAGAUAUCGGAAGGAACGCCGGUGGCGAAAGCGAUCGACUGGACCUCUUCUGACGCUGAGGAGCGAAAGCGUGGGGAGCAAACAGG
rnacentral:rRNA from 1 species